ensembl:snoRNA
GCUGGCAUAAUGAUGAAAUCUUUGCCGUUUACCCAUCUGACUUGUUUGUUUUGAUGUGUAUCUUUGAAUCUGAAAUGCCAGU